rnacentral:rRNA from 1 species
AUUGAACGCUGGCGGAAUGCUUUACACAUGCAAGUCGAACGGCAGCACGGACUUCGGUCUGGUGGCGAGUGGCGAACGGGUGAGUAAUGUAUCGGAACGUGCCCAGUCGUGGGGGAUAACGUAGUGAAAAUUACGCUAAUACCGCAUACGAUCUAUGGAUGAAAGCGGGGGAUCGCAAGACCUCGCGCGAUUGGAGCGGCCGAUAUCAGAUUAGGUAGUUGGUGGGGUAAAGGCCCACCAAGCCAACGAUCUGUAGCUGGUCUGAGAGGACGACCAGCCACACUGGAACUGAGACACGGUCCAGACUCCUACGGGAGGCAGCAGUGGGGAAUUUUGGACAAUGGGCGAAAACCUGACCCAGCCAUUCCACGUGCAGGAUGAAGGCCCUCGGGUUGUAAACUGCUUUUGUACAGAACGAAAAGGUUUCUACUAAUACUAGGAGCUCAUGACGGUACUGUAAGAAUAAGCACCGGCUAACUACGUGCCAGCCGCCGCGGUAA